rnacentral:tRNA from 1 species
GCCUCGAUAGUUAAAUUGCUUAGGACGCUCGUACGGAAUACAAGAGAUCCGGGUUCGAUUCCCGGCCGAGGUA